rnacentral:rRNA from 1 species
GACGAACGCUGGCGGCGUGCUUAACACAUGCAAGUCGAACGGAAAGGCCCUGCUUUUGUGGGGUGCUCGAGUGGCGAACGGGUGAGUAACACGUGAGUAACCUGUCAUUGACUUUGGGAUAACUUCAUGACACUUGGGCUAAUACCGGAUAGGAGCUCCUGCUGCAUGGUGGGGGUUGGAAAGUUUCGGCGGUUGGGGAUGGAAUCGCGGCGUAUCAGCUUGUUGGGUUGGUAGUGGAUUACCACGGCCUGGACGCGUAGCCGGGCUGAGAGGGUGACAGGCCAAACUGGGAUUGGAAUGAGGCACAGACUACUACGGGACGCAACAGUGGAGUAUAGUGCACAACGGGCGGAAGGAUGGUGCAGCGACGCCGCGUGGGGGAAAACGGGCUGCGGGUUGUAAACUGCUUUCGUUUGUGACGAAGCGUGAGUGACGGUAACGGGUAAAGAAGCACCGGCUAACUACGUG